rnacentral:rRNA from 1 species
UACGUAGGGUGCAAGCGUUGUCCGGAAUUAUUGGGCGUAAAGAGCUCGUAGGCGGUUUGUCGCGUCUGCUGUGAAAACCCGAGGCUCAACCUCGGGCCUGCAGUGGGUACGGGCAGACUAGAGUGCGGUAGGGGAGAUUGGAAUUCCUGGUGUAGCGGUGGAAUGCGCAGAUAUCAGGAGGAACACCAAUGGCGAAGGCGGCAUCCCGGACCGACACUGACGCUGAGGAGCGAAAGCCAGGGGAGCAAACGGG